rnacentral:lncRNA from 1 species
UCACCUUGCUCUGUGCCAAGCUGGCAGGAACAUGACAUGCACAUUCGACACCGAGGAAUCUCACCUUGCUCUGUGCCAAGCUGGCAGGAACAUGACAUGCACAUUCAACACCGAGGAAUCCUCCUCGGCAUGCCCCAGUUUAUUACUUCGUUUUAAGAAAAAGGCAUCUACACUAGCUUCACUAUUUACUAAUCAAAUCAGGUGGCAUUUAUCCCAUGAGUAUCUAUCUUCUCUUUGUCAACUACUAUUGCUUUCAUGGCAUCCAAUUUCUUCCUUUCUUUCUUCCUCAUCUCUUCUACCUCCUUACGGCCGGUGCAAUCUUUGAUUCUGCGCAACACAUUUAUAAUAAAUUAUUAUACUUAUUGUUUACUCAUUUUUAUCAGAAAUUAACUCACAUAUUAUUUGUAAUUUUAGGCCAUUGCAAAAUAUAUAUUUUUCCAGCACAUUGCGUCUUAAAAAGAUAUUCACUAAAUCACCUUACAUAAGAGAACAUAAUUAAAGGACAAAAUAAACUCUCUUGAAUUAAUUUGUGGCACUUGAAAAAGUGAAGUAUAUAUGUAUGCAUACAUUAUAAGUAUUUUGUUAGCUAUCUCAAAAGUGC